GGACUAACACCGAUAUGCUUUGGGGAGCUGUACGUAAGCGUUGAUCCAGAGAUUUCCGAAUGGGGGAACCCACUAUCUUUAGUCGGAUAGUAUCCUUACGUGAAUACAUAGCGUGAGGAAGGCAGACCCAGGGAACUGAAACAUCUAAGUACCUGGAGGAAGAGAAAGAAAAAUCGAUUUCCUGAGUAGCGGCGAGCGAAACGGAAAGAGCCCAAACCAAGAAGCUUGCUUCUUGGGGUUGUAGGACACUCUAUACGGAGUUACAAAAGAAAGUUAUAAAUGAAGCGGUCUGGAAAGGCCCGCCAAAGACGGUAACAGCCCGGUAGUUGAAAUGGCUUUCCCUCCAGAGUGGAUCCUGAGUACGGCGGAACACGUGAAAUUCCGUCGGAAUCCGGGAGGACCAUCUCCCAAGGCUAAAUACUCCCUAGUGACCGAUAGUGAACCAGUACCGUGAGGGAAAGGUGAAAAGCACCCCGGAAGGGGAGUGAAACAGUUCCUGAAACCGUGUGCCUACAAGUAGUUAGAGCCCGUUAAUGGGUGAUAGCGUGCCUUUUGUAGAAUGAACCGGCGAGUUACGAUUUGUUGCAAGGUUAAGCGGAAAAAGCGGAGCCGUAGCGAAAGCGAGUCUGAAUAGGGCGCAUAAGUAACAGGUCGUAGACCCGAAACCAGGUGAUCUACCCAUGUCCAGGAUGAAGGUAAGGUAAUACUUACUGGAGGUCCGAACCCACGCACGUUGAAAAGUGCGGGGAUGAGGUGUGGGUAGCGGAGAAAUUCCAAUCGAACUUGGAGAUAGCUGGUUCUCUCCGAAAUAGCUUUAGGGCUAGCCUCGAGGUAAAGAGUCAUGGAGGUAGAGCACUGUUUGGACUAGGGGCCCUUCUCGGGUUACCGAAUUCAGAUAAACUCCGAAUGCCAUGUACUUAUACUCGGGAGUCAGACUGCGAGUGAUAAGAUCCGUAGUCGAAAGGGAAACAGCCCAGACCACCAGUUAAGGUCCCCAAAUAUAUGUUAAGUGGAAAAGGAUGUGGGGUUGCUUAGACAACCAGGAUGUUGGCUUAGAAGCAGCCACCAUUGAAAGAGUGCGUAAUAGCUCACUGGUCGAGUGACCCCGCGCCGAAAAUGUACCGGGGCUAAACAUAUUACC
rnacentral:rRNA from 1 species